UAGGGAAUAUUGGACAAUGGGUGAGAGCCUGAUCCAGCCAUGCCGCGUGCAGGAAGAAGGCGUUAUGCGUUGUAAACUGCUUUUUGCCAGGGGAUAAAAAGACCGUGCGCGGUUAAUUGAAGGUACCUGGUGAAUAAGCCACGGCUAACUACGUGCCAGCAGCCGCGGUAAUACGUAGGUGGCAAGCGUUGUCCGGAUUUAUUGGGUUUAAAGGGUGCGUAGGUGGCCCUGUAAGUCAGUGGUGAAAUAUCUCAGCUUAACUGAGAGGGUGCCAUUGAUACUGCAGGGCUUGAGUACAGAUGAGGUAGGCGGAAUUGACGGUGUAGCGGUGAAAUGCAUAGAUAUCGUCAAGAACACCGAUAGCGAAGGCAGCUUACCAAGCUGUAGCUGACACUGAGGCACGAAAGUGUGGGGAUCAAACAGGAUUAGACACCCCUGUAGUCCCUGAGCGGGCUGGCAAGGCGCAU
rnacentral:rRNA from 1 species